UACCAAAACAAAUGUAGUAAUUUAUAAGGAUUAAGUCAUAUAAUCCAACAAAUUAUUAAUUAAAUAAUACUAUAUAUGUUACAUCAUCAUAAUUGAAUUAGUCUAUUUCUUGGAUAAUUGGCAAUGGUUUAUUAUCUAGCUUUUGCAGUCAGUUAAUACACUGCUGUUCAAUGUAUACUGAUGUAUAAAUAAACAAACAGAGAUAGCUGAUAUGACCAAGAUAAGAACCAAUGAAAAUGCAGGCUUCUGAAGCCAUUUUACACCUGUAACCAAAGAAAUAAUCCCAACAUUUCUGUUCAUUUCUCUGUGAUCUUUGCAAAUUCUUUGAGCAAAUAAAUUGACAAAUUCCCACUUUAAUUAUAAAUAUAUAUAUUAGUAACAUUCUAGAUAUUUCCUUCAGUAGCUACAUUGUGCUGAAGAAAAUUGCUCAUGAAUACCAAAAAUUUGAAUGUAAACAGGAAGUGCUUUGAUCAUGUUGUUGGAGGCAUUAAUGGAUUGAAGAUAAAUAAUAAUUGUGAAGCUGGAAAUUCUUAAAUGCAUUCAGAGGGACAUCAGGUAAAAGAGUGAGUUCCAGCAACAUAUAUCUUCUAAAAUAUGUGUGAUCAGAUAUAGAAUUUUAUAGUUAUUAAUGGUUUUUGGAGGAAAAUGAACAGAAAUUUGGGAAAAAGUUACAGAUUAUGUAUGCUGCGGAGAAAGAUGUCAUUCAGGCGAUCAACCAGAAAUGUGCUGAUGCCAGGUCAACGUUAGCAGCAUCGUGCAAAAAAACAAACUUAACAUUAAUGGCAAUGGACUGAAAAUUUGCUGUGUAUAUAGUUUUUACUUAUAGCUUUAAAUUUAUUAGUGAAAUGACAUUGUUGAUAUUUAAUUAACUUCAUUUUUUUCUUUCUAAAAUGCUAUUUUAUGUGUAUAAACUGUUCUGUUUUUAGUUAGAAGAAACCUGAACAUUGUAAAUAUUAACUUUGUUCUUUUUUUUGUUAUUGGUGAUUUUUUUGGACUGAAAUACUCAAUGUACAUAAAGUUUAAACUUAAAUUAAUAAAGUGAUAGUAAUAAUAUGUGCUGCUUUUAUAUCAUUAUUCUGCUGUGGACACAUGGUUAAAUAUGUAAGAUUUUUGUUGGCCAUACCUGUAACUUAGCUUGAUUAUAAUUGUGCAUAAUCAUCAAUUGACAGAAAUUUAUUGAAAACUGUACUUGCUGACAGUGAAUUUUAAUAUAUGACCUUCAUAUUGUACCUUGUCUUUUUAAGUUUCAGUAUUUUUGGCAUCCAAAGCAACUUAUAUGUGACUUAUAAGGCACUUAUAUGUGACUUAUGAGUCACUUAUAUUGGACUUAUAUGUCACUUAUAAAUGAUUAUAUAUGUCAUAUACAGUGCAACAUAUAAGUCACAUAUAUGUGACAUAUUAGUCACAUAUAUGUGACUUAUAAGUCACUUAUAUACUUUCCAUAUACCUAUAUGUUACAUAUACUUCACAUACAUCUAAUUUGCAUGUAAAAUAGGAAUAAGUCCCAUAUAUGUGACUUAUAGGUAGAUUGACUAUGUGAACUAUAAGUCC
rnacentral:lncRNA from 1 species